rnacentral:rRNA from 2 species
UAUAGGACUCUCGGCAAUGGAUAUCUUGGCUCUCGCAUCGAUGAAGAGCGCAGCGAAAUGCGAUACGUGGUGCGAAUUGCAGAAUCCCGUGAACCAUCGAGUUUUUGAACGCAAGUUGCGCCUGAGGCCAACUGGCCAAGGGCACGUCCGCCUGGGCGUCAAGC